rnacentral:lncRNA from 1 species
UGCUCUUCUCUUCAAGUCCUGAGUAUCACAAAAAGUCCCCAACUCCCAACUUCAGAAGAGGAGGUUAAGUGCUGAUGAAGAGUGAGAUAUUAUCUUUGAGAAACAAGAAAAUCCGUGCUAAGAAGAUGAAGGUGCGAGUGAAUAUCGUGAUGGGUGCAGUUAUGCUGAAUAAUUGGAUGGGAGGACGUGCCAGGCGAUCUCCAGCCCCUGGGAGCCGGACGCCCACGCCUCCCUCUGCCUCGUUCUCACAGACACAUUUGUGGGGUGAUUAACUCAGGAAUUCAUGCUGCUCAAAGUAACUACA